UCCUGGGAGUCACCAUUAGGUAUGUGGUUGUGGCAGCUCUGAGUCCAUCCCAAAAGUGGGAUAAGUCCUCCCUUAGCAGCGUGGACAGGAGAAGGAGGCCUGGUCUGACUCCCUGUCCUACUGCUUCCUAGCCAGGUGAUCAUGGGCAAGAUAGUUGACUUUCCCUGGCCCCGUCACUCAUCUAUCAGGCAAAUAUAAUACUUUAUAAAAUAAUAGGAAAAUAUAAAUUUAAAAAAUGCAAAACAUUUAAUUCACUUCAGAAAACAGGAACUUCAGGCUCCCUGUUCUGGGCCUGCUCUUGACCCCAAAGGUUGCUGUUUCUGAGUAGAAAAAAAAGUAACAGAAAAUUUCAUAGUCUCAAAACUUUGGAAAGCCUUGACCUAGCGCAACCCUGUGUUCCAGAACUGCCUGUCGGACGUCCUUCUCGGGACCUGAUAAUAUCCUCUCCUUUGCCAGAGGGUCAGAUGAGAGGGAAUUGUGUCUGGAAAGGAGGUGGAGAGCAGCAUUUUUUACUUUGGAGUGUAUGAACAUCGUCAGGGAAGCUGGUAAAAGAUACAAGUUCCAAAUUCCCACCCCCUGAGACUGAUUCAGGAGAUCUGGGCCAGGCUCAGAGUCUGCCCUGUUACCUUAGGAGCUCACUGUAGCCUGCACUUUAAGGAACACUCAAAAUUAGAAUCCUUCAGAGAAAGAAACAUAUAUAAUGCUUCUAGCAUUGAAUUUUUUUCCUUGUGUCUACAUUUUAAUUUCUGGAACUGUGUUGGGAGGAGUGUUGGUCACUGAGAACUUGGUUGAGAAAGUUACCUUUUUUGCCUUUUUAAUGGUUGCUAUCUCUCAAGUCCCAAAAGGCCACUCAGAUUUUCUUAGAAAGCAAGAUGAAGGCUUCUAAAAAUGAAACAAAAUAAAACAAGACCCCACAGUUCCUGGCAGAACUCACACUUUAUCCCUUUCAAAGUGUGACUCUCUGGUGGAACAUCGCACUGUUCCCAGCCCAUCGGGGUGGGCCUCCAGGGUGACGAGAGGCGUCGGGACCUGUGGAGGGUACCGCCACUGAGAGCCCAGGGCCCCCCAAAGGGUCUCUCAGCUCCCCACACUGCAUGGAGAAUAAAAAGCCAUGUGAUUUAAACUUCUCUGUCUGAAGUUACAAAGGAGGCUAAUUUCAGACAUGUUCCUUGGUUUGUUUGCAGAAUCAGACCGCAGAGCAAGGCGAUGCAGUGAGGGCAGUGAGCCUUGGCACAGCUAGGAGACUGGUACCUGGGAUUGCGGAGCUGUUGAGCUUCCCUGGGCACCAAGGGUCGUGCCAUCCUCUGGUCACCAGAAAAGGGGCAGGGUCCUGUGCCUCUCUUUGAAGGACCAUGGCUGCUGGUAUAGGCUUCGAAGCACCUUCAUUGGAUGAACCAUAAGACCAGGGUGCUGUGGGCCUCUCUGCCAUUCUCUUUACAAAGCCUCUGUGCGGCCCAGAGACUGCCUAGAGGAGAAACCAGGAGGCUGACAGGGGCCUGGAGGCCUCCUCCUACUGGCCAUCUUCUUGUUCUGCCCGUCUCUGUGGGGAAAGACCGGACCAAGCCAGAACACACGGGUCCCAAGCAAAGAGGACAAACACCCUGGCUGGUGCCCUUCAAAUGUGCUUUUUCAUUUGACAAAUGGGCAGAGUGGCUAAACA